rnacentral:tRNA from 1 species
CCUCUGGUAGCUCAGUUGGUAGAGCGGUGGACUGUAGUGGUAUAGAUCAGAGAUCCAUAGGUCGCUGGUUCAAAUCCGGCCCGGAGGA